CGGCGAGUGAAGCGGCAAUAGCUCAAAUUUGAAAGCUGGCGUCUUCGACGUCCGCGUUGUAAUUUGUAGAGGAUGCUUCGGCGAGGACUCCUGCCUAAGUUCCCUGGAAUGGGACGUCACAGAGGGUGAGAAUCCCGUAUGUGGCGGGCGGUCCAAGCCAUGUGAAGCUCCUUCGACGAGUCGAGUUGUUUGGGAAUGCAGCUCUAAAUGGGAGGUAAAUUUCUUCUAAAGCUAAAUACCGGCCAGAGACCGAUAGCGCACAAGUAGAGUGAUCGAAAGAUGAAAAGCACUUUGGAAAGAGAGUUAAAAAGUACGUGAAAUUGUUGAAAGGGAAGCGCUUGCAACCAGACUCGUUCGCAGUUGCUCAGCCGGCCUCUUGGCCGGUGUACUCUUCUGCGGUCGGGCCAGCAUCAGUUCGGGCGGCUGGAUAAAGGUGUCGGGAAUGUAGCUCCCCUCGGGGAGUGUUAUAGCCCGGCGCGGAAUGCAGCCAGCCUGGACUGAGGAUCUCGCUUCGGCAAGGAUGCUGGCGUAAUGGUUGUAAGCGGCCCGUCUUGAAACACGGACCAAGGAGUCUAACAUCUAUGCGAGUGUUUGGGUGUCAAACCCAUACGCGUAAUGAAAGUGAACGGAGGUGGGAACCCGCAAGGGUGCACCAUCGACCGAUCCUGAUGUCUUCGGAUGGAUUUGAGUAAGAGCAUAGCUGUUGGGACCCGAAAGAUGGUGAACUAUGCCUGAAUAGGGUGAAGCCAGAGGAAACUCUG
rnacentral:rRNA from 1 species